rnacentral:rRNA from 1 species
AGAUUGAACGCUGGCGGCAGGCCUAACACAUGCAAGUCGAGCGGCAGCACGGGUACUUGUAUCUGGUGGCGGGCGGCGGACGGGUGAGUAAUGCCUAGGAAUCUGCCUGGUAGUGGGGGAUAACGCUCGGAAACGGACGCUAAUACCGCAUACGUCCUACGGGAGAAAGCAGGGGACCUUCGGGCCUUGCGCUAUCAGAUGAGCCUAGGUCGGAUUAGCUAGUUGGUGAGGUAAUGGCUCACCAAGGCGACGAUCCGUAACUGGUCUGAGAGGAUGAUCAGUCACACUGGAACUGAGACACGGUCCAGACUCCUAGGGAGCAGCAGUGGGAAUAUUGGACAAGUGGGCGAAAGCCUGAUCCAGCCAUGCCGCGUUGUGUAGAAGGUAGGUCUUCGGAUUGAAAGUCAACGUUUUAAGGUUGGGAAGGAAGGCUAGGUUAACCUAAGUUACGUAUCCGUUAGUUUUCGACGUUACCGACUAGAAUAAGACACCGG